rnacentral:lncRNA from 1 species
CCUCUUAUUGGCAUGACGUCAGCUAGCCAUGAGUAACAUCACUCCGCAAUGUGCGUAUUAACCAUCAGCUAGCCGGAGUAACAUCACUCCCAAGCGUUUUAACCAUCAGGCUACGCUGAGUACACUCCUCAUCCCAAGCGUUUAUACGAUUUACAUGCUAGCCUGAGUAACCAAUCACUCCCAAGCGUAUAACCAUCCGCUAGCACUGAAGUAACCUCCUCCCAAAGCGUAUUAAACCAUCAGCUAGCCUGACUGCUUUAGGGCUAACAUUCACUCCCAAGCGGUUAUAUAAACCAUUCCAGCUAGCCUGAGUAACAUCACUCCCAAGCGUAUUAACCAUGAUGUAUCAUUUUCUCCUAUAGUUAGUUGUUGAAACAGUACAUAGACAUUUCAGGGGACUA